rnacentral:rRNA from 1 species
AGUGAACGCUGGCGGCGUGCUUAACACAUGCAAGUCGAACGCUUCUUUUUCCACCGGAGCUUGCUCCACCGGAAAAAAAAGAGUGGCGAACGGGUGAGUAACACGUGGGUAACCUGCCCAUCAGAAGGGGAUAACACUUGGAAACAGGUGCUAAUACCGUAUAACAAUCGAAACCGCAUGGUUUUGAUUUGAAAGGCGCUUUCGGGUGUCGCUGAUGGAUGGACCCGCGGUGCAUUAGCUAGUUGGUGAGGUAACGGCUCACCAAGGCCACGAUGCAUAGCCGACCUGAGAGGGUGAUCGGCCACAUUGGGACUGAGACACGGCCCAAACUCCUACGGGAGGCAGCAGUAGGGAAUCUUCGGCAAUGGACGAAAGUCUGACCGAGCAACGCCGCGUGAGUGAAGAAGGUUUUCGGAUCGUAAAACUCUGUUGUUAGAGAAGAACAAGGAUGAGAGUAACUGUUCAUCCCUUGACGGUAUCUAACCAGAAAGCCACGGCUAACUACGUACCAGCCGCCGCAGUAA